rnacentral:snRNA from 8 species
GUGCUUGCUUUGGCAGCACAUAUACUAAAAUUGGAUUGAUACAGAGAAGAUUAGCAUGGCCCCUGCGAAAGG